AUUGAACGCUGGCGGCAGGCCUAACACAUGCAAGUCGAACGAGUGGCGGACGGGUGAGUAAUGUCUGGGAAACUGCACGAUGGAGGGGGAUAACUACUGGAAACGGUAGCUAAUACCGCAUACCAUCGGAUGUGCCCAGAUGGGAUGAGCUAGGAGGUGGGGUAACGGCUCACCUUGGCGACGCUCCCUACCCGGUCUGAGAGGAUGACCAGCCACACUGGAACUGAGACACGGUCCAGACUCCUACGGGAGGCAGCAGUGGGGAAUAUUGCGCAAUGGGCGCAAGUCUGAUGCAGCCAUGCCGCGUGUAUGAAGAAGGCCUUCGGGUUGUAAAGUACUGUCAGCGGGGAGGCGUUACCCGCAGAAGAAGCACCGGCUAACUCCGUGCCAGCAGCCGCGGUAAUUC
rnacentral:rRNA from 1 species